GGUCAAGUGAAGAAGCGCAUACGGUGGAUGCCUUGGCAGUCAGAGGCGAUGAAAGACGUGGUAGCCUGCGAUAAGCUUCGGGGAGUCGGCAAACAGACUUUGAUCCGGAGAUCUCUGAAUGGGGGAACCCACCUAGGAUAACCUAGGUAUCUUGUACUGAAUCCAUAGGUGCAAGAGGCGAACCAGGGGAACUGAAACAUCUAAGUACCCUGAGGAAAAGAAAUCAACCGAGAUUCCCUUAGUAGUGGCGAGCGAACGGGGAUUAGCCCUUAAGCUUCAUUGAUUUUAGCGGAACGCUCUGGAAAGUGCGGCCAUAGUGGGUGAUAGCCCCGUACGCGAAAGGAUCUUUGAAGUGAAAUCGAGUAGGACGGAGCACGAGAAACUUUGUCUGAACAUGGGGGGACCAUCCUCCAAGGCUAAAUACUACUGACUGACCGAUAGUGAACCAGUACCGUGAGGGAAAGGCGAAAAGAACCCCGGAGAGGGGAGUGAAAUAGAACCUGAAACCGUAUGCGUACAAGCAGUGGGAGCCUACUUGUUAGGUGACUGCGUACCUUUUGUAUAAUGGGUCAGCGACUUAUAUUCAGUGGCGAGCUUAACCGAAUAGGGUAGGCGUAGCGAAAGCGAGUCUUAAUAGGGCGUUUAGUCGCUGGGUAUAGACCCGAAACCGGGCGAUCUAUCCAUGAGCAGGUUGAAGGUUAGGUAACACUGACUGGAGGACCGAACCCACUCCCGUUGAAAAGGUAGGGGAUGACUUGUGGAUCGGAGUGAAAGGCUAAUCAAGCUCGGAGAUAGCUGGUUCUCCUCGAAAGCUAUUUAGGUAGCGCCUCAUGUAUCACUCUGGGGGGUAGAGCACUGUUUCGGCUAGGGGGUCAUCCCGACUUACCAAACCGAUGCAAACUCCGAAUACCCAGAAGUGCCGAGCAUGGGAGACACACGGCGGGUGCUAACGUCCGUCGUGAAAAGGGAAACAACCCAGACCGCCAGCUAAGGUCCCAAAGUUGUGGUUAAGUGGUAAACGAUGUGGGAAGGCUUAGACAGCUAGGAGGUUGGCUUAGAAGCAGCCAUCCUUUAAAGAAAGCGUAAUAGCUCACUAGUCGAGUCGGCCUGCGCGGAAGAUGUAACGGGGCUCAAACCACACACCGAAGCUGCGGGUGUCACGUAAGUGACGCGGUAGAGGAGCGUUCUGUAAGCCUGUGAAGGUGAGUUGAGAAGCUUGCUGGAGGUAUCAGAAGUGCGAAUGCUGACAUGAGUAACGACAAUGGGUGUGAAAAACACCCACGCCGAAAGACCAAGGGUUCCUGCGCAACGUUAAUCGACGCAGGGUUAGUCGGUUCCUAAGGCGAGGCUGAAAAGCGUAGUCGAUGGGAAACAGGUUAAUAUUCCUGUACUUCUGGUUACUGCGAUGGAGGGACGGAGAAGGCUAGGCCAGCUUGGCGUUGGUUGUCCAAGUUUAAGGUGGUAGGCUGAAAUCUUAGGUAAAUCCGGGGUUUCAAGGCCGAGAGCUGAUGACGAGUCGUCUUUUAGAUGACGAAGUGGUUGAUGCCAUGCUUCCAAGAAAAGCUUCUAAGCUUCAGGUAACCAGGAACCGUACCCCAAACCGACACAGGUGGUCGGGUAGAGAAUACCAAGGCGCUUGAGAGAACUCGGGUGAAGGAACUAGGCAAAAUGGCACCGUAACUUCGGGGGAAGGUGCGCCGGCUAGGGUGAAGGAUUUACUCCGUAAGCUCUGGCUGGUCGAAGAUACCAGGCCGCUGCGACUGUUUAUUAAAAACACAGCACUCUGCAAACACGAAAGUGGACGUAUAGGGUGUGACGCCUGCCCGGUGCCGGAAGGUUAAUUGAUGGGGUUAGCGCAAGCGAAGCUCUUGAUCGAAGCCCCGGUAAACGGCGGCCGUAACUAUAACGGUCCUAAGGUAGCGAAAUUCCUUGUCGGGUAAGUUCCGACCUGCACGAAUGGCGUAACGAUGGCGGCGCUGUCUCCACCCGAGACUCAGUGAAAUUGAAAUCGCUGUGAAGAUGCAGUGUAUCCGCGGCUAGACGGAAAGACCCCGUGAACCUUUACUGUAGCUUUGCACUGGACUUUGAGCCUGCUUGUGUAGGAUAGGUGGGAGGCUUUGAAGCGUGGACGCCAGUUCGCGUGGAGCCAUCCUUGAAAUACCACCCUGGCAUGCUUGAGGUUCUAACUCUGGUCCGUGAUCCGGAUCGAGGACAGUGUAUGGUGGGCAGUUUGACUGGGGCGGUCUCCUCCUAAAGAGUAACGGAGGAGUACGAAGGUGCGCUCAGACCGGUCGGAAAUCGGUCGCAGAGUAUAAAGGCAAAAGCGCGCUUGACUGCGAGACAGACACGUCGAGCAGGUACGAAAGUAGGUCUUAGUGAUCCGGUGGUUCUGUAUGGAAGGGCCAUCGCUCAACGGAUAAAAGGUACUCCGGGGAUAACAGGCUGAUACCGCCCAAGAGUUCAUAUCGACGGCGGUGUUUGGCACCUCGAUGUCGGCUCAUCACAUCCUGGGGCUGAAGCCGGUCCCAAGGGUAUGGCUGUUCGCCAUUUAAAGUGGUACGCGAGCUGGGUUUAGAACGUCGUGAGACAGUUCGGUCCCUAUCUGCCGUGGACGUUUGAGAUUUGAGAGGGGCUGCUCCUAGUACGAGAGGACCGGAGUGGACGAACCUCUGGUGUUCCGGUUGUCACGCCAGUGGCAUUGCCGGGUAGCUAUGUUCGGAAAAGAUAACCGCUGAAAGCAUCUAAGCGGGAAACUUGCCUCAAGAUGAGAUCUCACUGGGAACUUGAUUCCCCUGAAGGGCCGUCGAAGACUACGACGUUGAUAGGCUGGGUGUGUAAGCGUUGUGAGGCGUUGAGCUAACCAGUACUAAUUGCCCGUGAGGCUUGACCAU
rnacentral:rRNA from 1 species